rnacentral:lncRNA from 1 species
UCACUCCCUCAGUUUCCUCCUCUGAAAAGUCUGGUAAGUCAUCCGCAACAUCCAUAUCAAUCCCAUGUUCAAGAAAAGCAGCCUUAAUUUCAUCCAUCUCCAUCACAUCCUCUUCGUCAUCAAUAGGAUCCUUUAAAAGACCUUGGACCCUUUGUAGCCCCUCAUCUUCAUUGAUGGGAUCCGAAAUUACCCCUGUUCCAGCCGCAUGUGUCUUGGCCAAGUCAUCUUGAAACUCCUUAGAAGGUUUAAUUGUAAGCCCUCCCCCAGAAUUCUUGAUCUCCCCUUCUUCUCAGCCCUCCCCCUGUGUCUCAUUCUUAAUGUCUUGAGCUCGUGUACGUCCUGGAGAUGUGUAAAUCCGGUUCUCCUGACCACCCACCUGGUUUACUCUCUUCGCAUGGAUCUUCGAUAUGAAUUUUCACCAUCACCACGAGAGCUUCCACGAUGAGUAGAUGAUUCUCUUAGAUCCUCUCUCCGCAACCUUCACCCAUUUAGAGUCAGCUUCUUCAAACAUUUUACCUUUCCCCUUCCCGUAGUAAUCUCGACUCUCUCGAUCUCUGUUCUGUUGAUUUCCAUUGCCAUUUAUGACCACCCCUUUAUAACUUCUGGCCCUAUCAUCGUGCUUUCCUCUGUCGUACCAUCCACCGUUUCCCUCUCUUAUCUCCCUUUUCCUCUCCGGACUCUUAUUUGUGUUCUCCUUAUCCAAAGGACACUUCUCAUCCUUAUGACAAACACUGGAGCAUAUUUGGCAAUAGCCAAAAAUCUUC